rnacentral:siRNA from 1 species
UCGCAAAAUUUGCGAGGGAAUUGC